GGGGGCGUUCUGGUUUCGACGGAAUGUCCGAUGCGCUGGUUGCACGUGGAGGUUGAUCGGUUGGCCUCCUAAAAAAGCCGCUCAAAACAAAUAAAUGCAGACUCUAACGAGCUCGCACUGGCUGCUUAAUUGACAGUCACGUCAGAACCCCGACGCCUUCUGAGGGGGAUGGCGAAACCUAGAAGGCUGGGCAUGGAAUCGGGUGGCCGGGUUUCAAGCCGAGAAAAAACAGGUUCCUAGGAGAGGCAACGCCGCAAGCGGGCCCAGCCCUUCCGAAAUUUCAGACCGCAUGCUAAACGUGUAGAUACCAUCGUUGACGGCGUCCCGGACAGGGGUUCGACUCCCCUCGCCUCCACCA
rnacentral:tmRNA from 1 species